ACAGCUGCGACGACGACAUGGACGACAUGACUAGUACUGAAACACCAGUAGUCGAGUGUAAUGAUGUGCCACAACCAAAUCAAAUACUGGUCUCAGCCCAACAUAUUGGCUAUGGCGUGGUCGUACCUGUAAUAUGUUUCUUUGGACUGUGUACUAACUGUGUAAACCUCGUGGUUCUCACCAGGCCAGAGAUGAAGGAGACGAUUUUCACUUACCUUACAAGUUUGGCCGCGGCUGACCUGGUGACAGUAACUAUGAUGAUGUUCAGCAGUUUGUAUCGUGGUCUGGGAAUUAAGAGCUACGGUUGGCUGGUGUUUGAUAUCUACGUUCACCUACCGAUCGCCAUCAUUAGCAGCUCAACUGGCACUCUUCUUAUCGUCGCCAUAACCUUCGAACGUUGCUUCUAUGUCAAAUGGCCCACAGUAGCGAAACGUUUCUCUAGAAAAUCGACGGCAAAGCGAGUGGUGACAGUAAUUGUUCUUUCGUCGCUUUUGUUUCACAUUCCGUUUUGUUUCAGCAUGAAGGUCGACAAAAAUUCAGUUGAAAUACAAGCUACGAAGUUCAAUAAAAGUUCCGGAUUUCUUGUAUAUAACUGGAUUAGGCUUAGCCUGUUUGGGUUUAUACCAGCAUUUCUUAUCGCUGUGAUCAAUUCUAUUUUAAUUUACGCUGUGCGACAGAUGAAAAAACUACGUCAUAAGCUGAUCGCUCAGCGCCAACUGGCCGAAGACAGGAGACAAGGUGAACAAAUACGACUGACCAUAACACUGAUUGCCAUCACGUGUAUGUUUUAUAUUGGUGAACUGCCCUCAAACAUCUUUAGCCGAAAAACAGCCACGCAUAUUUUAUUCGGCGGCAACAAAUGUAUGAUGCAUUCUCAGUUUUACAAGAUUAUGUCGUUAAUCAUAAACAUUCUGGUGACAUUACAGUAUACAUUAAACUUUGUGUUUUAUUGUGCACUCAAUAAAAAGUUUAUGAACGUGCUAAGAAAAGUCUGUCCCGGAACCAGAAGAAAGAAACGAGCUUCAUACAGACAGUCUUAUUACUCAAGUGGAAUUCCAACUAUUGCACAAGCAAGACAGUAAAUACCCGAACUUCAUGUUCUCUUAUUACUCAAGUGGAAUUCCAACCAUUGCACAAGCAAGACAGUAAAUACCCGAACUUCAUGUUCUCUUAUUACUCAAGUGGAAUUCCAACCAUUGCACAAGCAAGACAGUAAAUACCCGAACUUCAUGUUCUCUUAUUACUCAAGUGGAAUUCCAACCAUUGCACAAGCAAGACAGUAAAUACCCGAACUUCAUGUUCUCUUAUUACUCAAGUGGAAUUCCAACCAUUGCACAAGCAGGCCAAUAAAUGCCCAAACUUCAUGUUCUCUUGUUACUCAAGUGGAAUUCCAAGCAUUGCACAAGCAAGACAGUAAAUACCCGAACUUCAUGUCCUCGUAUUACUCAAGUGGAAUUCCAAGCAUUGCACAAGCAAGACAGUAAAUACCCAAACUUCAUGUCCUCUUAUUACUCAAGUGGAAUUCCAAGCAUUGCACAAGCAAGACAGUAAAUACCCGAACUUCACGUUCUCUCCUUUUUUUUUUUUAUUUACAUUUUUCACUGUUGAAGACGUGGUGGUAGAAUGAUCAUAUUGUGGUUAAGAGCUGGUUCUCUUAGCUUAAUGGCAAGAUAUUUUAUACUUAAGGAGGAAAUCUUCCCAGGAAUGGGAAAUAACGUGGAAAACAUGGAAGACAUCACAUUUGUUUAGGAAGUGGUUGGUAAUACUACUAGUGUUGUAGGUUUUAAUCGACUGAAAAAACGUUAAUGGUUAAUCGAAUAUAUCCCUGGCUGCUUUUCGGGCACGUGGACUCAUAUACCACUAGCGAGGUAUUAAUCGGAAUAAAAGAACGCUGAUGAGAAGGUGAAUCUGCUACCACUAUAUCACUAUUGUGAAAAUGUAAUGAAAAUAACAGGAAAUAAACUUCAGAUGGACUUAAAAACCAGACAGUAAAGGCACUCCAAGUAGACACCAUGACGAACCAAUAUCUCAUACAAAUGUUAAUUUUCAUCGUCUGUAUUUGUACAAUAUCGCUUCAGUGUGCAGGAAACUUAACAACAAUAUCU